CUUUGAGAGGUGCCUUUGUGGGGCCUUAGGUGUAGGCCUUGAGGCUCACAAUCAAGGUUAACAUUUAAGUGCUCAGGCGUGCCACUGCCAUCUUUAGCAUGGCAGAUGUAAAAUGGUUGUUGUGCUUUAGUUGUGUAUAUGUAUGUAUCCAAGAAACCGUGUUAGUUAUAACAGGUGCCUUCGUGGGGCCUUAGGUGUAGGCCUUGAGGCUUCCCAUAAAUAACUAAACCAGUGCUCGAACACAUUAUAUUUGUUCUCGUGAUUGCAGGAGUUUUCUAACUAUUAUACUUCUGAUUACCCGAAUCCAAGAAGUAGAAUGAACCCAAAUAGGUGCCUUUGUGGGGCCUUAGGUGUAGGCCUUGAGGCUUCCCAUUAGAGUUCAUUCUUAUACUUAGACCUUUUAGAUCGAUGAACGGAAUGAAUCCAAAUGGAUGCCUUUGUGGGGCCUUAGGUGUAGGCCUUGAGGCUUUCCAUUAGAAUUCAUUCCAUGCUCAAGCGCUCUAUGGUAAUCAUGAUAUAAUAGAAAGAAAACUAGAAGGUAGGUUGAUUACUUGCGCCCCAAGUAACUUCGGACUUCUCGUUUAUCAAGGACUGUCGUGGAUGGGUUAAGUCCACAUAAAGUUCUUUUUUAUGCCUUGAGGCCAAGGAGUUUUAACUGAUCAAAUUUACAUGCCCGAGGGCUUAGGACUUGGAUCUGGUUUGAACACUGACGAUAUAUUCAAAUCGGAUUCAAGUACUGAGAAAACCCUUUAAUAGUCAUGUUGCUAGAAAUAACUUGCAUAUAACUGGAAGUAUACAACAUAUUGAAAAGACAAAACCAAAGCAAAGAAGGUCGGGCAAGGUUAAACCUUAUCGGGUAAGGUUGCUCGUCUUGCAGGUUCCUAUCUUUGUAGUUUUGUCAAAGGUCUGAAAGCUUGGAGGGGUAGAGAGAAAGAUUACACAAAAUGAAUCGAUACUACAGCAAGGUUGAGCAAGGUAGCAGAGCUAUUACAAAGGGUUGAAGAGAGGGUUAUCCCGAAAGGGAUGAAGGCUGACUACAGCUUUGUUUUGAAGGUAAAUCUGGCUUUGAGCAGAGUUUGUGCUUGCAUUUGUUUGUUUGAUUGAGUGUCCUUAAUCCUGGAUUUUCUUUCUUCUUAUAUAGACAACUCGGCUUGGCCUUUGGUAGCAGCAGCUUUGCCCGAAUGCGGUUUGAGGGUGAUGACUCAUCAGCUAUUUUACAUGUAAUGCCAUCAUAAAGUGCUUUAUGGGCUCUGUAGCUGAUCAGUCUACACCACUUGGCCUUUGGGUAGGUAAGCAAGUGGUCUUCAUGAGCUGCACCAAGUCAGAAAAGGCCUUUCCCUGCCUUCUGGGCUUCGACUGGGCUUCGGCUAUCUUCUCUUUCGGUCCUCCUUUUGGGCCAACUCCUUCCUUGAGCCCAAAGUUCAAGUUUUGACCCAAACACAGGUAAUAUGACUUGACCCGUUACCUGUUAAAGAAAAUAUUUUUUAAAUCAACAAAUAAUGAAAAUAAAAAACAUAAUUUGACCUAAAAAACCAUAAUACUAAAUUAGUAUAUGCAUACCACAUUGUCACAUAAAUAUUACUCCAAAAUAUUAUAAAUAAAAAAACAUUUGUCUUUCAAGUAUUAUAUACUCCAAAAUAAGAGCCUAAUAAAAAAACAGUAGUACAUUAUAAGGGACUUACAUUUCAAGGUUGAGGAACCUUGCACAUUUAUAUAUGCUUUCACAUUUUUAAACUUGUACAUUAAGAUUAUGAAUUUUAUUUAUUUUGAACUCCCUUAAAAAUACUAUUCAUGAGGAUUUGUAUGGUUUUAAAAAUCAAACAACGUUGUACCCAUACUCAUAUCGUAUAAGAUGCGAUCACGAGCCUUGCAUAAUUUUUCACAUUUUUCGCACUUGUAAAUUAAUUAUUAUGUUUUUUUAAUGUGUUUGGCAUCUUUAAAUUACUUGAUACUUUUAUUUUGAUGUGUUUUAUAAUUUUUUAUUCUCACACUUUGCCUAUAUUAUAUAAAUAAAUAAAUAAAACUUAAAUAUUUUAAAUUUACAUUGAAUAAUAAUACAAUAAUAUCUAUUUAAUAUACAAUAUAUAAAUAUACACUAUGGCUAUUGUAUUUAUAGUAAGUUUUUUAAGUAGUUUAAAAAAUUAAAAUCAUCAAAAUAACAUUUUUCAUAACGCGUCGAAAUAGGU
rnacentral:lncRNA from 1 species